rnacentral:rRNA from 1 species
UACGUAGGGUGCAAGCGUUGUCCGGAAUUAUUGGGCGUAAAGAGCUUGUAGGCGGUUUGUCGCGUCUGCUGUGAAAUUUCGGGGCUCAACCCCGAACUUGCAGUGGGUACGGGCAGACUAGAGUGUGGUAGGGGAGACUGGAAUUCCUGGUGUAGCGGUGAAAUGCGCAGAUAUCAGGAGGAACACCGAUGGCGAAGGCAGGUCUCUGGGCCGAUAACUGACGCUGAGGAGCGAAAGCGUGGGGAGCGAACAGG